GAUGGUGGAUCUCCAACCGCCUUCCUUCCCUCUCCGUUGAGCAUAGCAAUGGAUGGACCCCCGGUCCGAUCCGACAGUCACCCGAGGCAAGCCACCACCUCCUCCGCAUCGGAUCUCAUCUCCGGUGAGAGGAAGGGAGGAUUUUCAUGCCGGACAGCUGCCCUAUUUCCACUCUAAGAUCCAUGUAUGUAGCGCAUCAUCGGCUGCUCUUGAGGGGAAACUGAGGCUAAUCGGCCGACGGCAUGUCUCCCUGGGCAGAGGUGGCACGGGGUGUGGCUUUCCAGCAGCGGUGGCUGGGGCUUCACUGAGCAACCAGAUCUUGGCCUUCCAUGGACGCCGAUCCAAAGAACCUUACAAUCGUCAGGAAGCCGAUGGUGAGUCUUGAGAUAUGGCGGCGGUCCGUCGAUUUGGGAACCUCCGGCGGCCGCCAGCCGCCAUAUGGUUGGGGAGGGGGCAUUCAGCUUC
rnacentral:lncRNA from 1 species